rnacentral:rRNA from 1 species
UUAAGUGACGAUAGCCUAGGAGAUACACCUGUUCCCAUGCCGAACACAGAAGUUAAGCCCUAGUACGCCUGAUGUAGUUGGGGGUUACCCCCUGUUAGAUACGGUAGUCGCUUAGC